rnacentral:rRNA from 1 species
GUCCACGCCGUAAACGAUGGAUACUAGCUGUUGGGCGCAAGUUCAGUGGCUAAGCGAAAGUGAUAAGUAUCCCACCUGGGGAGUACGUUCGCAAGAAUGAAACUCAAAGGAAUUGACGGGGGCCCGCACAAGCGGUGGAGCAUGUGGUUUAAUUCGAUGAUACGCGAGGAACCUUACCAAGGCUUAAAUGUAGAUUGACAGGUUUGGAAACAGACUUUUCUUCGGACAAUUUACAAGGUGCUGCAUGGUUGUCGU